CAGAGCUGAAGGCAGAUGCUUAACAACUGAGCCAGCCGCCCAGGCACCACUGAAAAUUUUUCUAUAUAUUUAUAUGGUAAAGAAAGUUCUGCCUUGUGAGGCUCUUACCAGAUAAAAGAUAACAUCUUCCCCCACUUGCUAAUUCAAGGCAAAACCAAUGUAAUUCCAUCUGUGACCAAACAGAUCGGACUAUACUGAGCUGAUAUAAUUCUAGCCAAAAUUAAAAAAAAAUGAUUAUGGUUUUUUCAGUUGUGGUCAACCUUAUCACAGGCCUUAUCACAGAUUUUAUUUAUUUGGCAGACAGAGAUCACAAGCGGAGAGGCAGUCAGAGAGAGGCGGAAGCAGGCUCCCUGCCGCAGAGAGCCCGACACGGCGCCCGAUCCCAGGACCCUGGAAUCAUGACCCGAGCUGAAGCAGAGGCCUCAACCCACCGAGCCACCCAGGCGCCCCAGGAAAUGUGUAUCUUAACAUCAAUGAAAUAUGAUAAUUUCUGGACAUCCGUAGAAGGUUUUGUUCUCUGUAAUAUUUCUAGUACUAUUUGAGAGUUAGCUUGCCACCUUCACAUCAAUGUGCA
rnacentral:lncRNA from 1 species